UUAUUAGUUAUAAUAAGACUACAUUUGUUACAAUAAUGUUUAGUAUAAAAGUGGAUGCAAGCAUCCAACAGUUCACAGGUGUUAUGGAUAGAAUUACCAACAGUGUUACCUGUUGGCACAUCCGGACCGAAGCCACAGAUGAUUUGAAUUCAAUAAUGAUCCUUCCGCAGGUUCACCUACGGAAA
rnacentral:misc_RNA from 1 species